UUAUUCAAAAAAAAUUAGUUUUUUUUUGGAUGGUUCACGCGGGUCGAAGAGAUUGACCUGCAAAAUCCCAAACCAGGAAGAACAUAACUCUUGUCCUAGUUCUUACCCACUAUCUACUAGGACCCCUUCCUAGUUAGUAAUUACUACCCAUGUUUCAUCCCUUUCUACCCAUACAAAAUGACGUUAGAAAAAAAGAGCUGAUUAACGAAAAGAACGAAGGUCCUGACGUGAAUGAUGUCUAUGCGGGAAACUAUGGACAAGCUACUGCAACGACCUAAUCCUGGGCAAGUGAAUAAAAACCUGUUAUAGAGGAGAUGCCCACUAAUUAAAAGGAAGUUAUGAAGACUAGGAACACCUGCUAAGAGUUGACGGAUUCACUUCUGCCGAGAUAUCAUUGCAUGUAACAAUUCGCAUAAGGUUAAGAUACCACUGCUGAUCCUACUUCAUCUUCCAUUCCUUUUCUGCUUAUGAGUCCCUCCCCUGAGGUUUUCAUUGCUGUCUCUGAUUGCUACUACUAUGGCUCCGGAAUUGGUUUCAUUGGAAAAGGCAACAUCUGCGUUUAGCUUGUGCCAAUUUGGUGGUGGAGGUCUCUAAAAAAUAGGUGCUGAAUUUCUCUUACUUUUUUUUCUUGUAUGUGAUUUUUUCCUCCUCUGUUGCAUUUAGAUAAUCCAAUUCCAAUAGUUUUACAUGCUUGAUUGUUGUCUCUGGAUUGGGAUCUAUAGUUUGAUAGACUUUCUCGUUCCUUACUUUUCAAAUUGUCCACAUUGUGAUGUCAAUCCUACUCCAUGUUUGAAUUGCUUCGGGUUUGCUUCCUUGGUUGCACUUCCUUAACAUGUCUUGUAACCAUGUUCUUGCCGAUUUAACACUUUCCUUUAUUGGAAUGCAUUGAGUUUGUGAGCCAAACCAAACCGCUCUGGUCUACUCACAGAAUAACAGAGCAUGUUCUGUUGUCUCUUCCUCCUGCAUACAAAUAGGACAUAGGUUACAGUUGGUUAUCUUUUUUUAGAUCAAAUUGCUUUUACUGGUAAAAUGUUGUGAGCCAUCCUUCGUAAGGACAUUUUGAUCUUUUGUGAUGUUCUCAAAUUCUAGAUUCCUAGCCAAAGAUCAUCCAUAAGAGUGCUUGUUGAGGGGAUAUUUUUUGA